AUGAACGCUGGCGGCGUGCCUCAUACAUGCAAGUCGAGCGAACGGACGAGAAGCUUGCUUCUCUGAUGUUAGCGGCGGACGGGUGAGUAACACGUGGAUAACCUACCUAUAAGACUGGGAUAACUUCGGGAAACCAGAGCUAAUACCGGAUAAUAUUUUGAACCGCAUGGUUCAAAAGUGAAAGACGGUCUUGCUGUCACUUAUAGAUGGAUCCGCGCUGCAUUAGCUAGUUGGUAAGGUAACGGCUUACCAAGGCAACGAUGCAUAGCCGACCUGAGAGGGUGAUCGGCCACACUGGAACUGAGACACGGUCCAGACUCCUACGGGAGGCAGCAGUAGGGAAUCUUCCGCAAUGGGCGAAAGCCUGACGGAGCAACGCCGCGUGAGUGAUGAAGGUCUUCGGAUCGUAAAACUCUGUUAUUAGGGAAGAACAUAUGUGUAAGUAACUGUGCACAUCUUGACGGUACCUAAUCAGAAAGCCACGGCUAACUACGUG
rnacentral:rRNA from 1 species